AGUGAACGCUGGCAGUAGGCCUAACACAUGCAAGUCGAACGGCAGCACAGUAAGAGCUUGCUCUUACGGGUGGCGAGUGGCGGACGGGUGAGGAAUACAUCGGAAUCUACUUUUUCGUGGGGGAUAACGUAGGGAAACUUACGCUAAUACCGCAUACGACCUACGGGUGAAAGCAGGGGAUCUUCGGACCUUGCGCGAUUGAAUGAGCCGAUGUCGGAUUAGCUAGUUGGCGGGGUAAAGGCCCACCAAGGCGACGAUCCGUAGCUGGUCGGAGAGGAUGAUCAGCCACACUGGAACUGAGACACGGUCCAGACUCCUACGGGAGGCAGCAGUAGGGAAUAUUGGACAAUGAGCGCAAGCCUGAUACAGCCAUACCGCGUGGGUGAAGAAGGCCUUCGGGUUGUAAAGCCCUUUUGUUGGGAAAGAAAAGCAGCAGGUUAAUACCCCGCUGUUCUGACGGUACCCAAAGAAUAAGCACCGGCUAACUUCGUG
rnacentral:rRNA from 1 species